AUUGAACGCUGGCGGCAGGCCUAACACAUGCAAGUCGAACGGUAACAGGAAGCAGCUUGCUGCUUUGCUGACGAGUGGCGGACGGGUGAGUAAUGUCUGGGAAACUGCCUGAUGGAGGGGGAUAACUACUGGAAACGGUAGCUAAUACCGCAUAACGUCGCAAGACCAAAGAGGGGGACCUUAGGGCCUCUUGCCAUCGGAUGUGCCCAGAUGGGAUUAGCUAGUAGGUGGGGUAACGGCUCACCUAGGCGACGAUCCCUAGCUGGUCUGAGAGGAUGACCAGCCACACUGGAACUGAGACACAGUCAAGACUCCUACGGGAGGCAGCAGUGGGGAAUAUUGCACAAUGGGCGCAAGCCUGAUGCAGCCAUGCCGCGUGUAUGAAGAAGGCCUUCGGGUUGUAAAGUACUUUCAGCGGGGAGGAAGGGAGUAAAGUUAAUACCUUUGCUCAUUGACGUUACCCGCAGAAGAAGCACCGGCUAACUCCGUG
rnacentral:rRNA from 1 species